GGUGCAUAGAUGCACCAACUAAAGUCACUGCUCGUCUGGUCCUUCGAUCUUAAGACCCUAAACCUCAAAGACCAUAAUCUCUCGUACGAUGCGUUUGGUUUCAGUUUGAAGUCAGAUCGAUCACCGGAACCCUAAUCCGGCAUCGGAAUUUCCAGUCAUAUUCAUAUCUGUAGAUUUUGGGAGUCUUUCAGUGAAGAGGUCGGAGACGUAUCUCCGGUCUGAGAGAAAUGAUAACCCGGUCUAAACUCGUCGAGCAACUCAGAGAUUACCAGAUCCGAUCUCAGCAAAAAUGCCCUGCUCUCACCGUCUUCUCCCCCAAACCCCAUAUCACAACCUGGGUUGAUGUCUCUGUGGCAAUCUUGUGGGCGUUACUGUUUUGCGUGCUUGUAUUGUCAUCCUGUUGGAACCUUUACUUCAGAUAUUUAUGGCUUUCUUUUGUCCUCGUAUGUCUCAGUAUCCUUAUUCCUGUUCGCCUGCGAAUUUCUAGGCAGGAACUAGCAAGGAAGAGAGAUAGAAGAUUGUUGUUACCUUUGUCCAUGUGAAUACCCACAGUUAAUGAUGUGUCAUGACACAUCAAUGGGGACCAUGAGCUAAAGAUGUGACAUAGCCGAAAGCAAAAGUUAGUGAGCUGUGUAAUCAAAUAUCUCCCAUCCCAAGUUAAAUUGGCUAGGUUUUUAUCCCAUUUCUUUGUGGUCUAUUUCUUUUACAUUUAUUCUUUUGAGACAAUUCUCUCUAAAAGAAUAUAAAAAACUGGAGAAUACAAGGAUUUUUUUUUUUUUUUCCUUUCUUUUUUCGUUUUCCUUUCAACCCAUUGCUUCGUAACCAUUGUAGGGGACAUUGUUGUUGUGAUGAUGAGUUGGGGAACAGCUUCAUGUUGUAGCCGAGAAGGUGCUUUACCGAUGACUAUUUAGAGAUUGUUUUGCCAUUUUUGUGAUCCUGUUAGUUCAAGUAUACCUGAGAAAAGGAGAUUUAUAAUUGUGUAUUUGACUUUAAUAAUAUUGUGUGUAUAAAACCAUAACAGGACCUCAGGGCAAAGUCUCAAGAAGUUAAAAUUUAUCCUCA